rnacentral:rRNA from 1 species
UACGGGAGGCAGCAGUGGGGAAUAUUGGACAAUGGGCGCAAGCCUGAUCCAGCCAUGCCGCGUGUGUGAAGAAGGCCUUCGGGUUGUAAAGCACUUUUGUCCGGAAAGAAAGCUUAGGGUUAAUAACCUUGAGUCAUGACGGUACCGGAAGAAUAAGCACCGGCUAACUUCGUGCCAGCAGCCGCGGUAAUACGAAGGGUGCAAGCGUUACUCGGAAUUACUGGGCGUAAAGCGUGCGUAGGUGGUUUGUUAAGUCUGAUGUGAAAGCCCUGGGCUCAACCUGGGAAUGGCAUUGGAAACUGGCUUACUGAGUGCGGUAGAGGGGUGUGGAAUUCCCGGUGUGCAGUGAAAUGCGUAGAUAUCGGGAGGAACAUCUGUGGCGAAGGCGACACCCUGGACCAGCACUGACACUGAGGCACGAAAGCGUGGGGAGCGAAACAGGGAUUAGAUACC